rnacentral:misc_RNA from 1 species
UUUAUGUGUUUGUUUUAUUUUUUUUAUAAUUUAUAUGCUUCUGCAGUGCAUAACAAGUGCUAUGGCAGACCAACAACUUCUACUAAAAAGGAACUUGAAGAUAGUUUUAUAAAUAGCUUGUAUGUUAGACAGUAUAGAGAGAAAGAAUUCCUAUAUGGGUUCGAAUUGGUAAGAGGCGAGUAAAACCGUGAGGUGAUAUGGGUUCGA